rnacentral:rRNA from 1 species
UAAAGGCUUGGUCCUGACUUUACUAUAAGCUUUAGCCCAAAUUAUACAUGCAAGUAUCCGCACCCCCGUGAGAAUGCCCUCAAUCCCCCGCCCGAGGACGAGGAGCUGGUAUCAGGCACAUCCCAAUUGCCCAAGACGCCUUGCUUAGCCACACCCCCAAGGGAAUUCAGCAGUAAUAAACAUUAAGCCAUAAGUGAAAACUUGACUUAAUUAGGGUUAAGAGGGUCGGUAAAAUUCGUGCCAGCCACCGCGGUUAUACGAAAGACCCUAGUUUAUAAACACGGCGUAAAGGGUGGUUAGGGGAUAAACAAAAUAAAGCCAAAGACUCCCUAAGCCGUCAUACGCUCACGGAAACACGAAGACCAAACACGAAAGUAGCUUUACCAAACAUGCCCGACUCCACGAAAGCUGGGGGACAAACUGGGAUUAGAUACCCCACUAUGCCCAGCCCUAAACCUAGAUAAUAUCUUACAAAACUAUCCGCCAGGGGACUACAAGCACAGCUUAAAACCCAAAGGACUUGGCGGUGCCUCAGAUCCAC